GACGAACGCUGGCGGCGUGCUUAACACAUGCAAGUCGAACGAUGAAGCGGUGCUUGCACCGUGGAUUAGUGGCGAACGGGUGAGUAAUACGUGAGUGACCUACCUUUGACUCUGGGAUAAGCCUGGGAAACUGGGUCUAAUACCGGAUACGACCAAUCUCUGCAUGGGGUGUUGGUGGAAAGCGUUAUGGAGUGGUUUUAGAUGGGCUCACGGCCUAUCAGCUUGUUGGUGAGGUAAUGGCUUACCAAGGCGACGACGGGUAGCCGGCCUGAGAGGGUGACCGGCCACACUGGGACUGAGACACGGCCCAGACUCCUACGGGAGGCAGCAGUGGGGAAUAUUGCACAAUGGGCGCAAGCCUGAUGCAGCGACGCCGCGUGAGGGAUGACGGCCUUCGGGUUGUAAACCUCUGUUAGCAUCGAAGAAGCGAAAGUGACGGUAGGUGCAGAGAAAGCGCCGGCUAACUACGUGCCAGCAGCCGCGGUAAUACGUAGGGCGCGAGCGUUGUCCGAAUUAUUGGGCGUAAAGAGCUUGUANNGCGGUUGGUCGCGUCUGCUGUGAAGGCCGGGGCUUAACUCCGUUUUUGCAGUGGGUACGGGCUAACUAGAGUGCAGUAGGGGAGACUGGAAUUCCUGGUGUAGCGGUGGAAUGCACAGAUAUCAGGAGGAACACCGAUGGCGAAGGCAGGUCUCUGGGCUGUAACUGACGCUGAGAAGCGAAAGCAUGGGGAGCGAACAGGAUUAGAUACCCUGGUAGUCCAUGCCGUAAACGUUGGGCACUAGGUGUGGGGGACAUUCCACGUUUUCCGCGCCGUAGCUAACGCAUUAAGUGCCCCGCCUGGGGAGUACGGCCGCAAGGCUAAAACUCAAAGGAAUUGACGGGGGCCCGCACAAGCGGCGGAGCAUGCGGAUUAAUUCGAUGCAACGCGAAGAACCUUACCAAGGCUUGACAUGCAUUAGAUCGCGUCAGAGAUGGCGUUUCCCUUCGGGGCUGGUGUACAGGUGGUGCAUGGUUGUCGUCAGCUCGUGUCGUGAGAUGUUGGGUUAAGUCCCGCAACGAGCGCAACCCUCGUUCUAUGUCGCCAGCGGUUCGGCCGGGGACUCAUAGGAGACUGCCGGGGUCAACUCGGAGGAAGGUGGGGAUGACGUCAAAUCAUCAUGCCCCUUAUGUCUUGGGCUUCACGCAUGCUACAAUGGCCGGUACAGAGGGUUGCGAUACUGUGAGGUGGAGCUAAUCCCUUAAAGCCGGUCUCAGUUCGGAUUGGGGUCUGCAACUCGACCCCAUGAAGUCGGAGUCGCUAGUAAUCGCAGAUCAGCAACGCUGCGGUGAAUACGUUCCCGGGCCU
rnacentral:rRNA from 1 species